rnacentral:lncRNA from 1 species
UCCGCGACCUUGGAGGAAGUGAAGGCGUCGAAGUCCUCCUGGCUAGGCUGAAGGGAGGGAGGAUCUUGCGGGGCUUUGAGAGGGAGAGGUCCCCAGUCGGCGCCGUAGAGGACGGAGGUCGGGGAGACGUGGAGGAGGACGACGGCGUCUCCGGGGCGGAUGUAGUGGUCCACGGCCCAGCGGACGGCGAAGGCGCUUUCGCAGGAGAGGUCGAUGGCGACGCCGAUUUUGCGGCGGGCGCCGGCGGUGGGAGUUGGGGUGGCGGCGGAGGAGGGGGUGGAGGAGGAGUGGUGGUGGUGGUGGUGGGGGGAGUGGCGAGGGGAAGGAGGGUGGUGGAUUUUGAUUGUGGGGAGGUGAGGGUGGUCGGAAUCUGGAUCCAUGGUUUCGAGGUUGUUCUUUGAUUGUCGGAAAAGGAGUGCGAGAGCUUUUUAGUAACGGAGAGUAAAGUGGAAGCGUGUUCUGUCGGUCCAUUUUCAUUAACUAAGAUUGUUGGGCUGAUACAGACGAUGUGAUGUUAAAGCCCAAUUCGAUAUCAUUUGCAAUUUUUUAACUAAAUACAAUGUACAAUGGUAUCACUUAUUCAACACCCUACUUUAUAAUUUUAACAUUCCAUAUCAUCAUUUCUCUCUUCCACAUAUUAAUUCUACAUUCACUUAUUCACAUUUUCAUUUUACUUGCAUUUUAUAAUUAUUUAAAAUUUUAAAAUAAGAAAUACAAUCAAUAAAAAGAUAUCGUUAUUGAAAUAUACAAAAAAAUCUAAAAAACUCAAUAAUAUAAAAUUUACAACAUAAUUUGAUGGUUAAAAAUGUGUAUCCAAAUCAAAUGAAACAAAUCUCUAUAUAUAGAAUUAAAAAGUAAUAAAUUUUGAUAUAAAACUCAACAAAUGAAAAAAUAAUUUACUAUCAAAUAAUGUAUCUUAAACAAGUGAUGGGGUGAAAAGAAAACAAAAAGAACAGUGUAGCCAAUAAGAAAACAUCACAAAUAGAUUUUCUAUUUUAAUAAAAUUUCAUUUUUCUUUAGUUCAAUCAGCUUGUGCCGCUUGUCAUUCAUUGUAUCUUUUCCGGUUGAUUCAACUGUUGAAUUGAUUCAACAAGUUUGAAUCUACGUAGAUUUCCCUUUUUAUUCAACAUGUCACUGUAUUAUAUUCAAAAGUUUAACAAUUUUUUCAACUACUCGUGGUCCAUUUUUUCAACUACUCCGACAUGCCGCUCGUCAUUCAUUGUGUCUUUCGGCCUAAAAGAAGCUUCCAUUUGUUUGUUAAUCCUCUAUUCGUUAAUAUUUUCAUUUUUACAUUAUUGGAGGAUGAGACCCUGGAGAAGAAAGAAGGUGAGUGAGCAGAGGGAGUGGUUCUUGAAAAACGGCAGCACUUUCCUACAAGAACUCAUCGCAGAUUCCAACGGUAUUUCAAACCCGAUCCGGUUCUUCUCUUCGGAUCAAAUCCUCAAGGCCACGGAUCGAUUCCAUCCAAACUGCUUUAUCUCUCGUCACAGAUUCUUCACCUGGUACAAGGGCGUCAUCGAAGACCGACCUUACGCCAUCAAGAAAUUCACAGACUCAUGGUUUUCAGAAGAGAGUGAGCGAGAGGUUUACAACGACAUCGUUUUAUCUGCUCGGGUAAGCAACCAUAGUAGCUUUCUCAAACUUUUAGGAUGCUCUCUCGAGUUUCCACUUCCGGUUAUUGUAUUCGAAUACCCAGAGAAUGGAGUUUUGAACGAGCAAGGAGCUUGCGAGGACGGCACGUUAUUGCCUUGGAAUGUUAGACUGAAGAUUGCCAAGGAGGUGGCGGUUGCAGUGACUUAUCUCCACACGGCUUUCCCUAGGAUUAUUAUUCACAGAGAUAUCAAGCCGACUAAUGUUUUCUUGGAUAAGAACUGGAAUGCUAAGCUGACUGAUUUCACGUUUUCGGUAUCACUCCCUGUGGGGAAGUCCUGGAUUAAGGAUAAAGUGGUGGGAACUUUCGGUUACAUAGAUCCGGUUUACUUCUCCAGGGGUUUAGUGACAGAGUACACAGAUGUGUUCAGUUUUGGAAUCUUUAUGUUGGCUCUUUUGUUGGGAAGAGCGGCUGUUUUUGCUGGAUCAAAUGGGUAUCAUUGUAAUAUUCUUGAUUAUGUGAAGGAUCUGCAGGAGAGAGGAGAACCUCUUGAAUUCGUGGGUGGUGUGAACGAUAUGAUGCCUGGUCAGAUGAAUAUGUUUCUCGAUUUGGCACUGAGAUGCUGCCAGGGGAGGAGUGAAGACAGGCCAAAGAUGAUUUUGGUGGCAAAAGAGAUUAAGAUAAUAGAAAAAGGAUCCCAUGAUUGUUCUGAGGAUGAUCAAAUUUAAGAUUUUGAGAUUAUGCUCAUGUUCGGGUUGUGUGUUGUUGGAUUUCUAAUUUUUAAGAGUUUUUGUUUUCUAAAACAUCUCUUUUAUUCAGGACAAAAAAUUCAUUUUUAGGUAUAUAAUCUGUAUUAUGCUCAUAUAUAUAUGUGCUUGAGUCUCACUUAUUUAAGACAAAAAAAAUCAUUUUCGAGCUAUCAGAUGUACAUGCUUUGCCACAGUAAGUUUUAUAUAUGUUUCCAUUAACAUUUUAUUUUUCUUAUAGUUACUAUUGUUAGUUCUAGUAUUUGUUUUGUUAAAAAGUGUUGUUCUAGGUUUCUGUCUAAAAGACCAUUACCAAAAUGUACUAAUCUAUGCUGUUGAAUGGUGAUGAUAAUGUAGUGUGUGGAAGCAAGGUAUGAAACUGUCUCAUAGUCAGGUAAUGUAUGAUUGUUUACUGGUAUAAACAGAACUGAUCCAAUCCAAACUUUAUGACAGUCACAUAAGAUAUAUACUUUGCAAAAUAAUACAUGCAAAACACUUGCAAUAAAUCUGGAUAACUUAUUCCCAGAGAUAUGCAGUUUUCAGCACAAAGUGAUUGAGAGAGUUGCACGGAAACAUAACAUUGAAGGAUCUGAAACAAGAGGUGGUGAUAGAUACUAGAUAGUGACCCACAAUACUAAAAGUCUACAACAAUAGCCAAAAGACCAACAAUACUACAACGAUAACCAAAAGAUACACGUUUUUAUAUUCAUCUUAUCUUUCGGAAAAGACCUCACAAAAUAAUCAAAUUAACAGCUAACACCCGUUGUGUAACGAAAAAAAAGUGUUACAAAAAAACAGCUAACACCCGCCGCGUUUUGAUAGAGUCAUGCAACCUCAUCAGUUAACAACAUACAAAAAGAAAUAUUUAAUCAUGUUACUCUCACAUAUGGCCGCGAGCUAUAAUCAAAUGUUUUUCUAUCCAUCACAUCUUACAACUAAUCGCAUCAGUUAAUUAUAAAAUCAACAGAGAAAAAAAUUCUAAAUCAUUAGAAUUCUAACGACAUAAACUCAUAAUCUGCAAAGAAUUAGCCACACAACAAACACAAACAAUAAACUGAGAUUUGAGAUUAAUUGUAAAUCGCAGGUCGUAGCUAUAAGUAAAAACGUCAUUAUUAAACUUCAAAACCGAAAACUGUCCUAAUAUUCUUUAAUCUUAAUCUAAUUAAUUAGUCUCUCACUCUCACAAAUAUCUUCUGUGUAGGCCCUUGUGAAGGUCUCCAUUUGAGUGUAAGAUGACAGCCUAACGAACCAGCCUGUAAAGUAGGUACAGAGAAGAAAAUCUGCAGAAACUUCCACUUCAAAAGUCUCUGUCUUUCCCUUUUCAGUCUCUACUCUCUAGCAGUUGAUCGAUUCAUGUUCGUCCCAAAACAUCAUUCUCACCCAAAUUAGGUUUCUCGCCAUGUGAAUCCAAACCCCCCUCCAAAGCUUCCAAAUUCCUCUUCUCCCCCAAUUCAUUUCACCUUCUUCAAGAGCAAUCUCAAACAACACAUCUUCUUGUUCUUAAUAAAAAACAAUGGUGUUCAUUACAAGACCACUUGUUCUUCUUGUUCUGUUCCUCUCUUGUUCUGCCUUGUACACUCCGCCAGAUAACUACCUAAUCUCUUGUGGCUCGUCGCAGAACAUAACCUUCCAAGGCAGAACCUUCGUUCCAGAGUCUCUCCUCCUCAAAACCGGAAACUCCUCCGUAGCAGCAUCAACCAACUCCAACUCCAACUCCAGCAACAUCUCCAUAUACCAAACCGCUUGCGUCUUCUUCGGUUUAGCUUCGUACCGGUUCAAAAUCACAUCCCCGGGUCGACAUUGGAUCCGUCUCCACUUCUCACCAAUCAAAAACACCACGUGGAACUUAACCUCCGCUUCGAUCACGGUCCUAACAGACGACUUCGUCCUCUUGAACAACUUCUCGCUCAACAACCAAAUCUUAAAAGAGUACACAGUCAACGUCACCACAGACUCCUUAACGUUGACUUUCAUCCCUUCGAACAGUUACUGUUAAUUAAUUUUAUGAUUUCGAUUAUGAAAUCUACACCAAGACCUAAUCUAGAUUUGAUUUAAUUCAACCCUAACACAUUUCUAAAGAAGGUAGAAGCACUAACCUUGAUCCAUGCUUAGAUGCAAUUCCACCAAUUGAUCUUCUCCUCUUUAACCUUCUCCUUUUUGGUGAUUUCCUUGAUGGACAAGAAAUCCCAAACCUUCCUUAAUCUCUCCUUUUGAUAAAUAUUAUUGUUGUGUUGUGUUUUAGAGAGACUCGUAAGAAUACGUAUCUCCAACACAUGAUGAAUGAGUCACUUUUAUAUUAAUCAAAGGGUGUGUCUUAACCAACACACCUCUUCCACACAACACUUUGAUAUUAACCGCACAAGUGCAUUAUAAUAUAUCAUCAUAUAUAUUUGACCUUAUGGUAAUAUAUUCCAUUAUUAUUACCUUUUACAUAUAUGAUCAUGAGAUUAAGGACAUUUAUAAAUAUAAGGUAAAGUAGGAGGGUUAUCAAUACACCCGGAUUCUAACUCUUUAAUAGAAACCGAUCCAUCACGGUAUCGCCUUUUAUAUUAGAAUCUAAAACAUUAAUAUGAACUUGAACUUUAUAUUAAACCAAUAGAAACAUAGGUCAUAUAGAAUAUAAAAUAUUCUUACAUUCUCCCACUUGACCUUUGUGUCGACUUAAGGGUUUAAUAACUUUAAUGUGCACUUUAAUAUCAAGUUCACUUGAUCUUUACUAAAAUUAAAACUGAUCGAAUCAUGGCGGUUGUAUGUCAUUUAAUCGGCAUAGUCCCUUCCAUGUACCACAAACCAAUUCUAACUUUAUAUUAUCCUUACAUGAGAAGAACCUUUAUUUCUCAAACCAACUAUAUGUUAUCUACGAACCAUAAGUGUAUACAUAUACUUUAAUGAUAACAUAAUUAAUAAAUCAGAAACAUAACUUUAUGUGAAUUCUCAGUGUCAAAUACAUAAUGAGCAUCCCAUAACUAAAAUAGCAAAGCCUUAUCUAUAAUACCCAUACGUUCUACAUGGCCAUUGAACGCCUUGGGUGGUAAACCUUUAGUUAGCGGAUCCGCUACCAUCAUGUCCGUCUUUAUGUGCUCGAAUGACACUCUCUGUUUCUGAACUUCUUCUUUAACAGACAGGUACUUUAACUCCAUGUUCUUAGCACCCUUCGAGUACUUGUCGUUCUUCGAAAAGAAGACAGCUGCAGAAUUAUCGCAGUAAAUUCUCAGCGGCUUGGCUAUAGUGUCGACAAUCCGAAGCCCUGAGAUAAAGUUCCGCAGCCAUAGUGCAUGAAUUGUGGCCUCAAAGCAUGCCACAAAUUCAGCCUCCAUAGUGGAAGUAGCAAUGACAGACUGCUUUCCACUCUUCCAUGAUAUUGCUCCCCCAGCUAAUAGGAACAAGUAGCCCAACGUCGAUUUUCUGCUAUCAACGCAUCCGGCAUAGUCUGAAUCUGAAUAUCCAAUGACUUCCAGCUGAUCAGAUCUCCUAUAUGUAAGCAUGCUCUCUUUGGUGCCUUGCAAGUACCUGAGAACCUUCUUUGCAGCUUUCCAGUGGUCCAUUCCGGGAUUACUUUGAUAUCGACCCAACAUUCCAACAGCAAAGUUGAUAUCAGGUCGAGUACAUGUUUGAACAUAGUUCAAACUCCCAACCACCGAUGCAUAGGGAAUUCUUUCCAUUUCUUUACGCUCCAAUUCAUUUUUAGGACAUUGCAUUUUACUGAACUUGUCCCCCUUCUGAAUUGGAGUUAUUCCUGCAGAGCAUUUCUCCAUUUUAUAUCUCUUUAAGAUCUUAUUGAUAUAUCCUUCCUGAGACAAACUUAACAGUCCUUGUGAUCUAUCUCGAAAUAUUUCUAUCCCGAUCACAUAAGAUGCCUCACCCAUAUCUUUCAUUUCAAAGUUCUUAGAGAGAUACUUCUUCACAUCAUGUAACAUACCCAUGUCAUUUGCAGCAAGUAAAAUAUCAUCAACAUAUAGGACUAAAAUCACAAACUUACUCCCACUGAUCUUAAUGUAGAUACAUCGAUCAACAAUGAUCUCUACAAAACCAUAUGAAGUGAUGGUAUCAUUAAACUUUAUAUACCAUUGUCGAGAAGCUUGUUUUAGUCCAUAUAUUGACCUUCUCAGCUUACACACCAAAUUUUCUUUUCCUGCGACCACGAAUCCUUCAGGUUGGUCCAUAUAUACUUCCUCCUCAAGAUCUCCAUUCAGAAAGGCGGUUUUCACAUCCAUCUGGUGAAGCUCAAGAUCAUAAUGAGUCACCAAAGCCAAAACAAUUCUAAGAGAAUCCUUCUUUGAAACCGGAGAGAAGGUCUCUUUAUAGUCAAUGCCAUCUUUCUGGGUGAAACCUUUAGCAACAAGGCGAGACUUGCGUCUUUCAGGUUUACCUUUCGAGUCAUGUUUAGUCUUAUAGACCCAUUUACAACCAAUGGUUUUGAAACCAUCAGGCAACUCUACUAAGUCCCAUACAUGAUUAUCAUCCAUAGAUUUCAUUUCUUCUUUUGAGGCAUCAAACCACUCUUCAGAAUUGUCACUUUCCAUGGCCAUUUUGAAUGAGAUCGGAUCGUCAUCGAUGCUUAUGUCACAUUCAUUUUCAAUAGUGUAAACCACGUAAUCGUUUGAAAUAGCGGAUCUUCUUUCUCUUCCAGAUCGCCUUAAAGGUAUUUGUGGUUCACUAUUCUCUUCUUGAAUUAUGACAUGUUCAUCAACAGUAUUUUCAGCUAGUAGGAUUGGCUCAUCAUUAUGUUGUCCUAUUGUGUCAUUAGAGUCUGAUGCAACAAUAGGAACAACUACUUCAGGUGGAACUACAGGUGAAGGAACUUCAACCUGAAUUUCAUUAAUGUCCACUUUUCGUGGUUCACCACUCCCACUAGUUUCACCGUUUUCAAUGAACCUAGCAUUACCCGAAUCAACUAUUCUCGUACUAUGGUUAGGACAAUAAAAUGUAUACCCCUUUGAUUUUUCAGGAUAGCCAAUGAAAAAUCCACUGACAGUCCUAGAAUCAAGUUUCUUUUCAUGUGGAUUAUAUAGCCUUACUUCUGCUGGACAACCCCACACACGUAGAUGUCUUAAACUAGGUUUCUUUCCCGUCCACAGCUCAUAAGGAGUCUUAGGAACUGCCUUACUAGGAACCCGGUUCAGCAAAUAUGUUGCAGUUCUUAAUGCAUAUAUCCACAAAGAAAGGGGUAAUGAGCAAUUACUCAACAUGCUCCUAACCAUCUCUAUUAAGGUACGGUUCCGCCUCUCAGCUACACCGUUUUGCUGAGGAGUACCAGGCAUUGUGUAUUGCGCACAUAUGCCUCUACUUUCAAGUAACUUUGCAAAUGGACCAGGACAUUGUCCACUUUCAUCGAAUUUUCCAUAAAAUUCACCACCUCUGUCAGAUCUCACUAUUUUAACCUUUUUAUCUAACUGCCUUUCCACCUCAUCAAUGAAUAUUUCUAGAACAUUCACAGACUUAGACUUUUCAUGCAGUAGAUAGGUAUAUCCAUACCGUGAGUAAUCAUCAAUAAAUGUGAUGAAAUAUUUUUCGCCACUCCAUGAUGGAGCAUCAAAAGGGCCACAUAUAUCGGUGUGUAUUAACUCAAGAAGUUGAGUGCUUCUUGUGGCUGGUUUCUUUAAAGUAUGUUUCGUCUGCUUUCCCUUAAUGCAGUCUAUGCAUACAUCUAAGUCACUGAAAUCCAACUGAGGAAGAAUUUCAUUCUUUAUUAACCUCUUAAUUCUUUCUUUGGAAAUAUGACCUAGUCGUUGAUGCCACAAGAAAGCAGAACUUUCAUUAAUUGCGCUACGCUUAAUGCCUCGACUUUCAACAUUAAAUAGGGAUUCAGAAAACUUUGCAUCAAGGUUGAACUUAUAAAGUGAAUCAAAUAAAAUACCACUACCAUAAAAGUAAUCAUUUCGGUACAAUGUGAAAACACCAUGUGCAACCUUAAUACUAAAACCUAAAUUGUCCAACCUACUAACAGAAACAAGAUUUCUAGCACACUCAGGUACAUAGAGACACCCUUCAAGAUCCACAUGACUUCCAGUGUCCAAGAUCAAUCUAUACGUCCCAAUUCCUUCUAUUUGUGCCUUCAUCCUGUUUCCCAUGAACAAGUACUGUUCAGGUCCUCUUAUGGGUUGGAUCGAACUGAAUCCCUGUUUAAUAUGAGACACGUGAGUAGUAGCACCAGAAUCUAACCACCAAGUAUUAUUAGGAACUUCAACAAGAUUCAUUUCAUAGCAAACAAAGCUGUAAUGUUUACCUUUCUUGUCGAACCAAUCCUUCCUUUUAGGACAAUCCUUCUUGAAGUGUCCUACUUGCUUACAAAAGAAACACUUCUUUUCCUUCUGGAUUUGACUUUGAGGUCCUUUCACGAAGUUUUUAGCAUUCCUUUUGCCUUUCCUACUUGAUGUUCUUUUGCUGCUACUGGCACUUCCAAGACCUACGAGGUUAGCAACUUGUUCUUUCAUCUUCCUUAGUCUCCCCUCUUCUUGAAUUAGCAUAGCCUUUAAUUCCUUAAAGUUCCAUUUAUCCUUAAUGGUGUUGUAAUUCACCUGGAACUGGCUAAAUUCAAGGGGUAGAGAGUUCAUGAUGAAUUGGACCAAGAAUUGCUCAUGUACCUCCAUUCCCAAGGUCAUUAACUUUGCUGCCAGAUUAGACAUAUGCGUCAAAUGAUCAUGGAUUGGCUGAGACCAGUCAAACUUCUUUGUAGUUAGCUCAUUCAUGAGACUUCCUACAAUCGACUUGUCAGCCAAUUCAGAUUCUGAACACUCCUUAAUUUUCUCUAGGAAUUCCCUUGCUUUCUCUGUCUUAGGCAUUGAUGGUUUAAUACUUUCUGCCAUCGUCAACCUCAUAAGGUUCAAGCUCAGCCUGUUAGAUCGCUCCCAUCUCUCAUAACGAGACUUUUCAGAUUCGGAGCUAUCUACUGUAAUAGCUGAGGGUUCCUCAUCAGUUAGUAUGGCAGAGUCCAAAGCCAUUACACCCAGUGUAAACCGGAUUUGCUCGAACCACUCACCAUAGUUGAGGCCAUUAAACUUUACCACAGAGUUAGCAGAUGCAAACACAUUUGAUGUAGCUGCAAGCAUUCAUACAUGUUUACCCGUUAGUGCUUUGAAACUUUAAUAUAUAUUCAGACUAAUAGAAACUUUAACACUUGUAUGUAGAUUUACUUUUGUUGUGCGUAGAGUUUCAUUUUGAAAAGGUUAUGUUUUGAUUUUAUAUUUUAGAGUUGCAACACGUUGGUUAGGUAUGAUAAUGAGAGUACCGUAUGAAGCAAAUCAAAGGUUUCAAUUAUUGGUUUCAUUUAGAAUUUGAACUCUAAUUAAACUUUAAAAUUUACAAUUGGGUUGAACUGAAAAUAUGCCAUUGAUUAUAAAAAUAUUUAAGUACUAUUUGGUUUACAUUGAACGCAUUCUUUGAAUACUUUCAAGAACCAGUAUAAAUAGAACAAAAAUAUAUUCAACGAAACAGAGUUUGAUAUGUAAUGAGAGAUUGAAUGGUAAAUUAACAUAGGAGGAAUUUCCCAUUUCCAUGAAAAAAUCUAAAGCUUAAGGAAAAAAUAUAAAUUUACAUAAUGAAUAUAACACUUAAACUUGUAGUAGAUACACAGUGAUCAGUGAUUUUAGCGGGUUGUAGAAGAUUUUGGAACUUGUGAACUUUAUUUUCAGACCACAGAGUAGAGAGGAAUUGAUGAGCAUAAUCUUGUGCUCCUUCAAAUAUCAUGUGUGGCUGUGGGAGAUAGCUGAAGCAACGUGGAAUCACAGUGAGUUCUAUCCGUUUACCCUUUGACACUGCUAUAUAAGAAAUUAUCCAUAAAAUUACCAAAACAAAAAUCCUCAAAGACAGGAACCAAACUCUCUUGCAAAAGUAUCCAUAAGGUGUCGUUGUCACUCUUAGGGCUGGGCAAAUAAACCGAAUCCGAAAACCCGAACCGAAUCCGAUCCGAUAAAAAUGAAUCCGAACCGAUCCGAAUCCGAAGUAAAUACCGAAUGGGUCUUGUUUUGUGGUAUUUCGGGUUAUGGGUAUUAUCCGAACCGAACCCGAAUCUAAAUGGAUAUCCGAUAGAACCCGAAACAUUCAAAACCUCGAAAAGAUCUUGUACCAAACAUGAUCUCAAUUCCUAAUAUGUAUCCAAAAUACACUAAGAAAUAUUGAACAUCUAAAAUACUUAUCUAUUACAUGAAGGUUGGUGGUUCUAUUACAUGAAGGUUGAUUGUUAAAGAUGGCCGUUGAAUCUUGAAGUAUUUGAAUUUAGAUUUUGUUUUCGUUAAACAAUGUUUCUCAUUUCAUGAGAACUUGGUUUUUGUUUUAUGAUUUUAUUUAUUUGGUUUUCUUUUUAUCAGUAAAUAUGUUUACUUUUCGUUUGAUUUUGAAUGAUCACGAUUGAUGUUCCUUAUUUUUGAAUCGAUUUUACUUAAGUUUUGGUUACAAAAUAGGUACAAAUCAGGUAUUUUAAAACUGAAGAACCGAUUUUACUCAUGUUUUGGUUAUAAAAUAGGUAAAAAUCAGGUACUUUUAAACCAAAAAACCGAUUGGGACCCAAACCCGAAAGUAUAUUGGGUUGUACCGGUUCUUUGAAGAUUUACUAACCCCGACCCGAACCCGGUAGAACCCGAACCGGUCCCGAACCGAACUUUUAUAUAAUCCGAAUGGGACUGAUUUUGAUAAACCCGAAAACCCAAAACCCGAUUGGAUAAAACCGAAACCCGAUUGGGACCCCGAAUGCCCAGGCCUAGUCACUCUCAUGAUUUUCUCUUACGUGCGUAACACUCUUAAAGACACUAAUACCGGUCCCAUCAUCUCCACUUCCUUCGUCUUCUUCUCCAACUCCUUUACCCAACCUCUCUGAUUAUCUUCCUCUUCUUUCUUUAAACCCUACACUUCGAAACCUAAUGGUGUGUACCCUUUAGACACUUCAGAAUGUAGUAUCAAACAAGCUUUUCAAAUUAUGGAUUACACAUUUGUUUCUUUGGUUGUUUCAUUUCGUACUUUCACCUUUUGAGUUUUAUCUAAAAUCCAGGAAGCCAAACCAAAACCAUUGUCUACCCAAGUCUUUUAUUUGAUUAUAACAACACCUAAAGACAAAUUUAAUCUAAACAGAUUUAGCAUUCACUCUCACACAACAGGAAAAACCUACAAAACCAUACUUUACUGAAGAUGGUCACAAUCCUCUCCUUUUUUUUUCAUAAAAGAAAAAUAACCAAAAGGGUUUACGUAAUCAUACAAACUUCUUCAGGUUUACUGCAGAAACCAUCAAAUAGAGAAAGAUAAGAGACUCCAAAUAACCCUGAGAAAUUCCUUAACAUCAUGAUAGAUAAACAUAGAACACAAACACACACUCCUCUGACCAUUGCGCUAAAACUCCUACUUGAUUUGUGUACCAAGAUCCCAAGAAGCGUUACUCAUCUGCGAUAGAAAAACAUGUAAAUGAGGAACAAUACAAUGUUAUUUGUUCUAGAUCAUAGCACAUGGAAGAACCACAGAAUCGACCAAGCAGAUAAUGUAUUGUCAUUCGUCUUGCAAUAUGAUGAAGAUAACAAAUGUAUCAUACAUAAUUUAGCCAUUUUCAAAUUAGUCAUAUUAUACAUUCAGAUUUCUCCUACAUGUACAAUCUUAUAACAUACUGUAAUGCGAAAUGUUCAAGGACUAACACCAACUUGUCUUACCGAAGAAGCACAAGGAAAAAAAAACAAAAUCACUUAAAAAAAGUUCAUUUCCUCAAGGGGCACAAAGCAAUCUUCUUCUACAUCAAUAGCAAAGACUAUUUGAAUCAAAAACACAAUCCGAGUUAUUCAGAAGACCGCUAAAAGGGAAGAACACCGUCGAGAGAAUCAAGGUGGGAAAGCAGUGUAAGCAAUGCUGAAUCUGCUGCCUAAAGUACAUGAGACUUAACCAUAACCACCAAAGAGUAUAAAACUAACACAGCUAACUUGAGACAACUCAAAAGCAUGAAGAAAGAGUCUUAGCAGAUAUGAAGAAGUAACAUGCACAACAUAACAUCACAAGCUAAGCAAAGCAAUCAUCUCAGCUCCACAAGUAUCUACUUUGACUAAAUCUACAAACUCAGCUCUAUAAAGAUGUUACUUUUCCUUCGUUCCAAUCUAUGUCAAUCUCUCACAACACUCAAUACUAAACCUAAUCAAACAUGUCAACUACGAAAGCUCAAUAAAGUCCUGACCUUUGAUGUGCUCGUGAUGAUGAGGAGCAACACCAUCUUCACCACCAUCAUCCCCACCACCAGUCUUAACAGUAACAACAGGCCCAGGUACAGGCCCAUCACGAUGAUCAUCAGGGAAUCUAACAACAACAACAGGACAAACACAGUGAUGAACACAAUAAUCACUAACAGACCCCAACCUCCCAUCACUCCCUUUCUUCUUCUUCUCAGCACCAAACCCUCUACUCCCCAUAAUCACAGCGCUAAGCCCCAGCCUCUCGAUCUCCAAACACAGCCUCUCCCUCAUAUCGUGAUCCUUCACUAUAUGGAUCUUAUAAGGAAACCCGCUCUCCUUCAAGGGCUUCGCCAGAUCCGCGACCUUGGAGGAAGUGAAGGCGUCGAAGUCCUCCUGGCUAGGCUGAAGGGAGGGAGGAUCUUGCGGGGCUUUGAGAGGGAGAGGUCCCCAGUCGGCGCCGUAGAGGACGGAGGUCGGGGAGACGUGGAGGAGGACGACGGCGUCUCCGGGGCGGAUGUAGUGGUCCACGGCCCAGCGGACGGCGAAGGCGCUUUCGCAGGAGAGGUCGAUGGCGACGCCGAUUUUGCGGCGGGCGCCGGCGGUGGGAGUUGGGGUGGCGGCGGAGGAGGGGGUGGAGGAGGAGUGGUGGUGGU